rnacentral:lncRNA from 1 species
CGUUAAAUUGCCAUUUCAGACCAAGUAUGUAAAUUUUGACAGUGUAUGACGUCAAAGUAACAUCGUAAUUGACCUUUGUGUAUAUUAAUUCCAUUACAAAAGUCUUCUCCUGAAAUAACUGUGACAAAUUUAACCAUAUUUGGCCACAAUCAGCAGUAGGGCAUCUAGUUUAAAAAAAAUUAUCGGAUGACCCUGGCUGUCAACCAGACAAGGCUUUUAAUACAACAUAGAGGGAAAUGCAGUUUUUGACUUAUAUCUCUGAGACUAAGGCAAAAGUACAAUGAUUGCAUUAUUUCAUGCAUGAAUUGUAAAUAAAAAUAUCACAUGAGCGACACA